UUGGAGGGCAAGUCUGGUGCCAGCAGCCGCGGUAAUUCCAGCUCCAAUAGCGUAUAUUAAAGUUGUUGCAGUUAAAAAGCUCGUAGUUGAAUUUCGGGGUUCUUCCGUUGGUCAGGCUAACAAGUCUGUACUAGCGUGUAGAAUCUCUACCUUCUGGGGAACCAUCAUAUUAUUAAUUUAGCGUGGUGGGAAACCAGGACCUUUACCUUGAAAAAAUUAGAGUGUUCAAAGCAGGCUUACGUCUGAAUACAUUUGCAUGGAAUAAUAAAAUAGGACGGUGGUCCUGUUUUGUUGGUUUCUGAAUCACCGUAAUGAUUGAUAGGGAUAGUUGGGGGCAUUAGUAUUCAAUUGUCAGAGGUGAAAUUCUUGGAUUUAUUGAAGACUAACUUCUGCGAAAGCAUUUGCCAAGGAUGUUUUCAUUAAUCAAGAACGAAAGUUAGGGGAUCGAAGACGAUCAGAUACCGUCGUAGUCUUAACCAUAAACUAUGCCGACUAGGGAUCGGACGAUGUUAAAUUUUAUUGACUCGUUCGGCGCCUUACGGGAAAC
rnacentral:rRNA from 1 species